rnacentral:rRNA from 1 species
AUACGGAGGGUGCAAGCGUUACUCGGAAUCACUGGGCGUAAAGGACGCGUAGGCGGGAUGCCAAGUCUGAUGUGAAAUCCUAUGGCUCAACCAUAGAACUGCAUUGGAAACUGGUAACCUAGAGUAUGGGAGGGGGAGAUGGAAUUAGUGGUGUAGGGGUAAAAUCCGUAGAUAUCACUAGGAAUACCGAAAGCGAAGGCGAUCUCCUGGAACAUUACUGACGCUAAGGCGUGAAAGCGUGGGGAGCAAACAGGAUUAGAAACCCGAGUAGUCC